AUUGAACGCUGGCGGUAGGCCUAACACAUGCAAGUCGAACGGUAACACAAAGAAACUUGCUUCUUUCCUGACGAGUGUCGCAGGCGGGUGAGAUAUCCAGCGAAAUCUACGUUUUCGGGGGAUAUCACCUAGAAACACUAACUCUUAUACCACAUCGUACCAACGCCAAAAAGCAGGGCAUCCGCGCCCCUUGCGCUCUUAUAUGCCCAGAUGGGAUUAGCUAGAAGGUGGGGUAACGGCUCACCUAGGCGACGAUCCGUAGCUGGUCUGAGAGGAUGACCAGCCACACUGGAACUGAGACACGGUCCAGACUCCUACGGGAGGCAGCAGUGGGGAAUAUUGCACAAUGGGCGCAAGCCUGAUGCAGCCAUGCCGCGUGUAUGAAGAAGGCCUUCGGGUUGUAAAGUACUUUCAGCGGGGAGGAAGGGAGUAAAGUUAAUACCUUUACUCAUUGACGUUACCCGCAGAAGAAGCACCGGCUAACUCCGUG
rnacentral:rRNA from 1 species